rnacentral:rRNA from 1 species
GACGAACGCUGGCGGCGUGCCUAAUACAUGCAAGUAGAACGCAGUUGCGAACGGGUGAGUAACGCGUAGGUAACUGCCUCAUAGCGGGGGAUAACUCUUGGAAACGAUAGCUAAUACCGCAUACUGUGCGAUGGACCUGCGUUGUAUUAGCUAGUUUGUGAGGUAAAGGGUCACCAAGGCGCAGAUACAUAGCCGACCUGAGCGGGGGAUCGGGCACAAUGGGAAUGAGAAACGGCCCAGACUCCGACGGGAGGCAGCAGUAGGGAAUCUUCGGCAAGGGACGGAAGUCUGACCGAGCAACGCCGGGUGAGUGAAGAAGGGUUUCGGAGCGUAAAGCUCUGUUGUUAGAGAAGCGGUAACUAAACAGAAAGGGACGGCUAACUCCGUGCCAGCCGCCGCGGUAAUAC